UCUCUUAUGGAAUUUAAGUCAAUAUUCCCAACAGAAAACACUUCCCUGCUACUAGGCUAGCUGAUUAUCUAGUCUGGAUCUUUAUAAGGUAUAUUAGAUCGGCUGGACCGCCAUCGAAAGCAGAAGGAUUCCAAUUUGAUGACGGGAAACUUUCCUAAGCGUAAUAACUUACUUGCUAGAUCCUAAUCCUAUCCCUUCCCUAUUGGUCGAGUAAGAAAAUCUCUCCACUUGAGAGACACUCGUCUGGAGACUCCAACUCUCUCUCUCUGCAAGAGAACUAUCACUUUCCUUUCCCAAGGGAUUACCUUAAGACUCGAACUGCAAUCGAUGCUUUUUUUAUUAAAGAAACACGUUAUUUCUUUCUUCGUUUGCUUGCACACUGGUUUUCCUAAGGGGCAGUUCACAUAUUAAUUAGUCUGGGGUGUACACUGAAAUGCCUUAGCCAAAGUAAACCACUUCUUAUAUGUAGACUCAAAUUGGCUUGCAACUGCCAUUCUUGCUCGAUCGAAGGCAGAAGCAACUGAUGAACUUGGAGCGAGAAGAAAAGCUCGAAAGUCGAUUAUUAAGCUUUUUCAAUUAAUUACUCAUCGAAACGACUGAAAGGCUUUCAAAAAAGGAGACUGGUCGGGUGUAAGAUAACUCCUAGCGACAUCAAAAGAAACUCCAACUUCCAAUAUUCAUCACAAUGGGCUCAAAAAAACCUCUUCCAAUCGAUGGUUUUUAAUACUUUGAGUUCUUUACCUGCUUUCAAUCCUCUGCCUUGCUCUAGCCCAUAUCUUUUUUGCUAACUGCUAACUAGGCUUUUGCCCGAGGACAAAAACUUAUUGCCCGAGAAGAGAACCAAGCCUUUAUACCCUCACCUGGCUUUCGCUACACCACGUGUGAAGCAUACGGCGACUGCGAUAAUCGAAAGGGAAUUUCCACUGGCACUCCCGCUGUAAUUUACUGGCCAGGAAAGUUCACUCGCUUCUUUACUUACUUAUUUUAUUGAAGAUAGGGAAUGAAAAAGGAGCUACUAUUGAGACUGAAAACGAAACUAAGAUACCUAUUAAUAUUAAGAGGUGGAACUGCUAGGCCUAGUACUUCCUAUUCCUGGUGAACUUAUUCAAUACGAAAUGGUAGAAAUAGGAGUAAGAAUUAGCUAUGAACUCAUCUACUACACUGGGUAUAUGGGAACUAGGACUGAAAUGAUAUAUGAUAUGGAUGGCUUUCGAGCCUGGAAAAGACCUGUCUUUUUCACAAGAUUGGUGAAACUGCUUUUCUCACUUCCUCUUCUACUUCUUUCCUCCCGAUUUCUUCUUUUGCGGAUCUUACCCUUAGCUUUUUACCUAACCUAAUUCAUUUCUUAUUAGCUUAGAAAGAAGGGCUUUUAGGCCCGCUAGCUAGGUUGAUUAUAUUAAAAGGUGGUUUACAGCUAGGGGGUUCGCACGAGGGAUCUUGCUAAAGGAAACGGGACAGAUAAUAGAUCUUUGGCCAUCUCAUCUCCUCAUCGGAGGCUGCUGCUUAUGAGAUAUCCCAUCGAGCAAGAGGAAUGACCUUUACAUGCGAGGUGAGGUUCGUGACCCAUGGCUCACUUCACUCUUUCCUUGCUCCCAAACACGAUGAAAGCUCCAACUAUGCGAUGAAACUCAGUACGGUAUCGGGCGGAUCGAUUACCAACUCCAUGCCGGAAAGAGCGUAGAAGGAAGACAUGGGCUAUUACUACUAUCUAUUACUACUAUGGUGACACCUAUGGUACCUAAUGAACCGUACUCCCAGCACAGGCUGGUGAGAGCAGGAUGGAAUGCACCCGUCUCUAUACCCACCGCCCUUACUUAGCUUUAGCUCUGCUCUCUGUGCUUAGCUUCCUUCCCUUUUUUUUUAAGGUAAGCAUCAAAGCCCAACCAACCUAUACAAAGAGCUCUUUUCAGCCCCUACUCCUAACAAGUGAAAGUUGCUGGCACCCACCAUACCUUGCUUUGGGGCCAAUCUCUUUCUUGUAUCGAAGCAAAUAAAAAAUGAUAUAGAAUUCUUCUUUUGUUCCACCACCUCCGUCCCUGAGUUUCAGUUCAACUAAGCCACUUCGUCCCUGAGCUCUGCUCGAGCGUAGUCAGCCAGCUUCGUGACUUUGCUUAGCUUUCUUACUAAAAUUCUUAUAUCCUUUGGCUUUCCAGCAGAUUGGCAUAUUAAGACGGAUUGGACUUUAACUGACCCAGAGUCCGCUAC
rnacentral:lncRNA from 1 species